GGUCAGGUGGGGUAAGAGGGACGCUGGGGUAAGGGAAACAGUAACUAGUAAAAAGAAAACUAUAAUGCCUAGCUAUAUGGUCAUUACGUCGGUAAAACAGUAUUAGACGUAGUUCCAAUAUUCUUGGAUAGAUGGCGCUGCGACACGGUAACUAAGCCAGUAAAAGAGAAAAAAAAAACAGUUGUCAAACUAAAAAAAACACGACCUACCGGCGCUCCUCAUUUGUGUUCAUUUUAAUAUCAAAAACAUCAGUGUUGUGAUUGAUUGCUAUGGUAAGUGUAAUUAAUACAUUGAAUCUUUAUUUUUCACGUAUUAUAUUGUUUGUAGCGUGUGUUUCUAGUCCUUUUUCGAUGUCAUCAAAAACAUAACCUUAAAAGUGUCAAGACGGGAAAGAGGAACGGCCAUACCAGGUUAAGAGAAACAUAUGUUCCUCUUUUCCGAUUUCAGCGGUUACAAACAUUUUUUAAAUCCGCCAAAAUAUAAUACGUUCCGUAAAUAACCGUGGUUUGAAAAUCUAUUUAUUUGUUACAGACAAAGCAAAAUGCCUCGAGCUUACGUAAGAAAGACCGAUAGAAGUUCUUACCCGAAAGAAAAACUAUUAGAAGCGGUUAGGGCCGUUAAAAGUGGCGCCUUGUCAGGUUAUGAAGCCUCAAAACAUUAUGGCAUACCAAGAGCGACCAUAAUCAAUCGGGUUUAUGAGCGUAAAGGUAUGAAAUCAAAUACUUUGGGGAGGGCCACGGUUUUGUCGAAAGAAGUAGAAGAAAACCUUGUUAAAAAUUUGCAUGCGAUGGAAAAAUAUGGCUUUGGCUUGACGAGAAAGGAAUUGAUGGAGACUGUGGGACAUUAUGUGACAGCGAAAGCUGUGAAUAAUCCAUUCAAAAACGGAGUUCCUGGAGAGGACUGGUUCCUUUUGUUUAAAAAACGGCAUAAUAUCUCUGUAAAAAAACCGCAGCCGGUGGAGUACGCUCGAAAAACUGCGUGCAGGCCUAAUGUCAUAUACCCUUAUUUUGAUUUGCUCGAAGAAACAGUCAACCAACUAGAUCUUCACGACAAACCAUCCCAUGUUUGGAAUGUUGAUGAGACUAGCUUCAGCAAAGACCCCUCAAAGGCAAAGGUGGUUGGACUGAAAGGAUUUACUUCCACACGAACAAUAUCAUCUCCGGGAAAAGACAACACUACCGUCUUGUUGGGGUGUAAUGCUCUUGGCGAAAAAACUCCACCGUUAAUUAUUUACAAGGGUAAAAACGUAUGGGACGAGUGGACGUCACAAGAAGGGUACCCAGGAACAGCGUAUGCCGCAACAGCUAAUGGGUGGAUGGAGACAGCUGUUUUUGAGGCGUGGUUUGAGAAAGUUUUUCUGCCGACAGUAGGACAAAAGCGGCCCAUACUUUUAAUAUAUGACGGGCACUCCACCCAUGUGGGAAUAAAUAUUAUUGAGAAGGCCCGAGCAGCACAAAUAACGAUUUUGAAGAUUCCUCCUCAUACCAGCGAUGUGUUGCAACCAUUAGAUUUGGCUGUGAAUAAACCUUUUAAGGAUAGAUGGGAUGUAGCUUUGGUCAAAUGGCAACGAUCAAACAUUGGUAAGACUCUGCCAAAAAAAGAGUUCGCGAAAAUUCUAGGCCAAAUUUGGUCUGCGAUAGAUCCCAAUGUGUGUGCAGCUGGGUUUAAAAAGGCGGGCAUCUACCCACUAAACAAAGAGAUUGUUCCAGAAUGUAAAUUUAAUCAAUUGCUUUUGAAAGAGUGGAAACAAACAAAAAUGUCACUCGUUAACAAUUUUGCUGACGACAGAACAAAGUCUUUAGACAUAUUAUGUCCUUUAAAACAAGAUCAAGAUAAUAGUCAGCCAAUUAGAAGUCCAGACUUGUUAUUUAACAUAGCUUUGGCAAGGAUUAAUUCCUGUAUACAUCAGGCACACAGUCAAUUACAGCAAAGGCAGCAAAAUAGGAAUGAUUUAGCAGGAUGUCCAAAAAGUUUACCUAAUACAGAAAAUCCAAAGCCUAAGAUACAUAUUCUUGAGGACCGGGCGAUCACGUUCGAAGAUUUAUUGCUCAUGAACAUAAAAGCAGGCACAAGUAAUAAGAUAAAAAGAAAAAGAAUUGCCCCUGGCGCUGAAGUAAUUACGCACGACGAUGUUUACAAAAGAUGUAAGCAAAUGGAAUUAGAAAAAGCUGAAAAAUUGAAGCAAAAACAAGAAAAGAAAUCGAAAGUAAAUAUAAAACAAGAAAUAAAGCAAAAAUCUAAAUCACAGUCUAAAUCGACGUGUACUAAAAAAGAGAAUAAUAAGAAAUUUUCGAAAAAUAAAAAGUCAAGAAUGCGAGUUGAAUCAUCCAGCGAAAGUGAAAUAGAAAUGGAUUUAAGGGAUGAAAGUGAAGAUGACGAAGACUUUGAACAGUAUUGCAAAAACCUUUAUAAUAUGCAAGAUGAUGUAGGAGAAGGAGAAGAAGAGAUCAAUGAAAUAAAUAGGCAAACGGAUGAAAGGAAAACAAUUAAAAAAACACGGACGCGAAAUAUGGAAAUGGAAAUUAAUAGUGAGGAUGAGACUAAAGAAAAUGAAGAAAACACUCAAAAAACAGAAGACUUAAAUUUAAAUGUUGUUCGAAACGAUUGGCUUUUGGUAAAAUUUUGCACAAAACGAUCUGUAAAAUAUUACGUUGGAGUAGUGCUACGCAUCACAGAUGAUGGUGUUCCAAUUGUCCAAUAUGUAAGAAAGACACUGACUAAAGUAGAAGACCAAACAGUGUUCACUUAUCCCGCUUUGGAAGAUAUAUCUGAGGUGAAGCAUGAAGAGGAUAUUGUUGCUAAAUUGCCUAAGCCUGUUAUUGGCCGUAGAGGCCAAAUAAUUUUUAAAAUGUGUUUUAAAAGCUUUAAUGUUCAGUAAGUAUGUUACUUUAGUAUUAGCAUAGAUAAAAUAUUUCUGGUUUUAGCCAUUUUUGUUUGUUUUUAGUAAAUAGAGCAAGGACUUGUUACUUACGACUGAAUGCAAAGUAAAAGAGACUUAUUUUUAUGAUAAGUAUGUUUUAGACCUAAGCUAGGCUGAUUUUAAAAUUCGGUUGUUAUAGUUUAUGUUUCGUAUGUAGUAUAAUGUUUGUUUAUUGUGUUUGCGACAGUAUUUUUUGAUGUGAUACGUUGUUGUUUCCUAUUAUGCGUACUUAUAGACCAAAGUUAGGAAAGUUCAAAAGUGUUAGAAGUUUAUGUUUUGUUUCCUUUAAGUUGAAUUUAAAAUUCUAAUUAAAGACAUUUCUUAAAACCUAA